AGUGAACGCUGGCGGUAGGCCUAACACAUGCAAGUCGAACGGCAGCACAGUAAGAGCUUGCUCUUACGGGUGGCGAGUGGCGGACGGGUGGGGAAUACAUCGGAAUCUACUUUUUCGUGGGGGAUAACGUAGGGAAACUUACGCUAAUACCGCAUACGACCUACGGGUGAAAGCAGGGGAUCUUCGGACCUUGCGCGAUUGAAUGAGCCGAUGUCGGAUUAGCUAGUUGGCGGGGUAAAGGCCCACCAAGGCGACGAUCCGUAGCUGGUCUGAGAGGAUGAUCAGCCACACUGGAACUGAGACACGGUCCAGACUCCUACGGGAGGCAGCAGUGGGGAAUAUUGGACAAUGGGCGCAAGCCUGAUCCAGCCAUACCGCGUGGGUGAAGAAGGCCUUCGGGUUGUAAAGCCCUUUUGUUGGGAAAGAAAAGCAGCGGGUUAAUACCCCGCUGUUCUGACGGUACCCAAAGAAUAAGCACCGGCUAACUUCGUG
rnacentral:rRNA from 1 species